UUUGUGAAAAUUUUGUUUUCUUUUUACCAAAUCACCUAUCCUGCGCCACUCACCCCUUCGAAGAAUGGUUUCCCCCCUCACCACUUCGCCACUCACUUUCGUCUCUCUACUCACCACUCACCACUCACCACUUCACCUUCACCACCACUCGUCGCUGCCACCGCUCCUCAUCUGCUUCACCUGCAUUCAUUUAAUACUAUACUCAUUGUCCCCACACCUUCGUAGUCUCUGCUCUCACCAUCACCGGUCACCGUUAUCGUAUCUGCGCUCACUGUCGUUGCUCAACCUAGUUGUCUCUGCACUCACCGUUGCAUCUCACCCUUGUUGUCUCUGUGCCGACCGUCGCCGCGCGCUUAGCAUCAUCGUUGUCUAUGUGCUCACCAUCGUCGAGAAGGGACCAAAUCCAGUUUCAAGUGCACAAGGAAGCACGUCAGAAAUUCAGGUUUGUUCUUAUCUUCAGUUGGUGGCUCAGUUUAUUAGGCAUCUUUUGCAUCCCAACAGAGAUCAUUAAGUCAUACUUUUUUUCUUGAUUAAUUUUUUCUUUGAUUUUUCAUUCAUUUUUUUUCUUCUCUUCUUAAUUUCCAUUUCUAUUGAUGCUCUUAUUUGUUACAACAAUUUUUUGCUAUUCAAUUUAUUGCAAUUUCUGUCCAAAAAUUAAAGAACUUUUGUUAUUUGUUCUUAUCAUAAUGACAAAUAUCAAAUUUGAUCUAUAUUUUGUAACAAAAGAAAUGGAAACACAGGUGAACUUCCUUUUCUGAUUAUAUUGAUACUUUGUUAGUUCACACCUCAUAUAUAUUCCAUACUUCCACAAAACUUUGCAUUUUAUCUUAGAAUAUUAUAAAAUUUCAUUCGAGAGGUUGAUUUAACUGGAAAUUAUCUAUGUCAAGUUUAUCUUUAACUUGGAUACUCCUUGGUCAUUCAGAUUUCUUUAAGGACUUGAAAUAGAUUCAACAACUGUGAAAAAAAUUAGACAAGCGAUUGACAAUUAAAUUGAAGUUACUGUACAACUCAUUAAUUAUACAAAGACCGGUAAGCAAGUCUAAUGUUUCUGCACAGAAAACCACUUUAAUAGACAAAGCUAAUAUAAAAUGAUAGGAAGUGUUAACAUUUUUUCCCUUAUUAGCACUAUUUAGUUCAUUAAAAGAAAACAAAAUACUAAGAAGUAUUUCCUACAAAAUUUCCUGAUGUUAAUUGUCUUUCCUCCAUCAAUUGCUCCUUGUUCUAGAUCAAAGUGCUGUAAAUGGAGGAGGAGGAGCUAUUUCAGUAGCUCUUGCCUUGAAUCAAAAUGCUGCCAAGUUCGCUAGCAUUAAUGGGACUCACAAGAACCUUGACCCCAAGAAUAGGAGUUCUAAAAAAUCUUACCGCUCUGUAAAUACUCAUAGUAUGACACAUUCAUUCAAUCUUGGUCAAGCUAUAUUUUCAUAGGAUUGGGUAGUUAGGUGAUAAAAGUGGUUUGUUAGUCAAGCUGGAUUUUUUUAGUGUAAUCAUUGAUGUAUAUAUGCUUUAUCAUGUAGUUCUUUGCAAGGGAAUGCCAUCACAAGAAACAUACCAAAAGAAUUAGAAAAUCUAACAAACUUGGGCAAGUUGGAUUUGGAAAAUAAUAGAUUAACUGGCCAAAACAAUCUUCCCUUUGCAAUAUAAAUAAGCUCCAAUUCUUGUAAGUAUGACAAUCUCUAAUUACUAGGUUUUACUUUGCAUAGAUAUAAUGAGUCUUAGCAUAUUACUGUGCUCUGCUUAAUCAUUUUUUUCCCGCCCGGAAACCUGAACAAUAAGUCAAAACAAUCUCAAUGGCACUAUACCGGAGUCACUCGGCAAUCUCUGAAGCUUAAUCAAUGUCAUGUUAGAUUCAAAUGAUCUUAGUGGUGAAAUCUUGAAGCAGUUGUUCAAAGUAACUAAGUACAAAAGGGACCGGACAUCUUCGAGUGGUCAAGCAAACAAGCUUAAGCUUUCAUUACAAGCCUUGAACUAGGGUUAAAAGCUUUCGAUGUGUAGGCCUUUAGAGCCUUAAACAGUGACAAUUAUUUUCCUCCUAAUUUUUCUGCUAGCUUAUAUGAAUUAGUGAUAGGUAAAAAAAUAGUUUUAAGUAUACACUAAUUUGAAAAUAUUUUAAUCCCUCUUUUGUGGAUCUGUUGCCAUAUACCAUGUUUGGAAUUAAUGGAUAUAAUAUUUGAAUUUA